rnacentral:rRNA from 1 species
GACGAACGCUGGCGGCGUGCCUAAUACAUGCAAGUAGAACGCUGAAGAGAGGAGCUUACUCUUCUUGGAUGAGUUGCGAACGGGUGAGUAACGCGUAGGUAACCUGCCUUGUAGCGGGGGAUAACUAUUGGAAACGAUAGCUAAUACCGCAUAACAAUGGAUGACACAUGUCAUUUAUUUGAAAGGGGCAAUUGCUCCACUACAAGAUGGACCUGCGUUGUAUUAGCUAGUAGGUGAGGUAAUGGCUCACCUAGGCGACGAUACAUAGCCGACCUGAGAGGGUGAUCGGCCACACUGGGACUGAGACACGGCCCAGACUCCUACGGGAGGCAGCAGUAGGGAAUCUUCGGCAAUGGGGGCAACCCUGACCGAGCAACGCCGCGUGAGUGAAGGAGGUUUUCGGAUCGUAAAGCUCUGUUGUAAGUCAAGAACGGGUGUGAGAGUGGAAAGUUCACACUGUGACGGUAGCUUACCAGAAAGGGACGGCUAACUACGUG